UAGCGCAGAGUUUCAGGCGCGCUCUCUGGCCCUGCUCUGGCCUAGGCUUGCACGGUUUAUAUUGAUAUUGAUGUUUAUUAUUUGCGUUCUGAAUUGAUUGGGCAGUGCCUUAGUUUGAUUGCUUUUUUCGUGUGAUAUCGUUGCAUUUUGGGAAGUCGAUUUGGAACUUUGGGAGCAAUGGCGACUGCAUCGCGUUCUUCCUUGUCGGCCUGGAAACGUGACGUCGAUGACAAUACUGUGGAAUAUUUUAUUUUUCCUGAACUUUCCUCCUGUUCGACCAAGGUUGAGGCUCAUGAGCGACUGAAAGACUUCAAAGAUAAAUGCAUGAGUACUGUGCAGAGUGAUCUUGAGGCAUACAUCUGGCAGAAUGAGCCAUUUGCCCUUCAUGUUCCUCCUGAAUCUAGGUUCCAGCUGGUGCCUAGUGGCAAAGCUUGCUCAAGUGCAGAAAGUGGAAAAGAUGUGCUUCCUCCAUUCCUGUGGGGUCGGACCUGCUACGCAGACAGUGUGGACGACGAGUGGUUCAUAGUGUACCUGGUGACCCGGCUGACGAGGGAGUUUCCCGGCGCUGUGGGCAGCCGGAUCGGGCGUGGUCUGAAGCAUUAGUCGCCGACGUCGGAGGUCUGGCGUUUCUGGUGGAAGUGCUGCGUUUUCUGGUCGAUUUGCCACCCGGCAUCUGUGCUGGAGCGACGAAGCGCGCCGGCCUCGGCGCGGCGGCCACUGACCGCGCCGGCAUUGCCGCAUCGCUGCGCCGUGACCGCCACGCUGCGCCAGGUGCGCCGCAGAAGCCGCCGAUCGCCCUGUGCGCCAUGGAUGUCUCAAGGGUGGGAUUGGGUUCCUGGGGUCGCGAGUGGUUUCGUUUUUAGGAUUUUUGUGUGUGUGUGUGAAACUGGAAGAACGGGAGUUUCGUGCUGGGUGAAUCGUACGGUUAUUCUAAGAAAGAUGGUGUAAAAAUGGUGCGGUUUAGAUCCUCUUAGCCUGGAAGACUAGCCUUGUUUGUGGAUGUUUUCAUUUGGCGUGGAUGCUUGCACUGUGCGGUAUUUUUUCUAGAGCAUUGCACUUAGCGCAUGCUUAAUCUUUUUUAAGUUGCAGAACUUCACAGGAAGGGCAAUCUGCUUUCUUCUGUCAAGAUUAUCCAUCUGAAAGGAGUUUCGGCACAUCUUAAGUUCGCUCUAGAUGUAAACGGGACUGUAAAAGUGCCUUUUUGAGCUGUAUUAUUUGCGGUGAAAUCUUCUUCUAGGAGCGCGUUGUGCCUUGACCGUCGUUCAUCGUUACCUCACUUAGCGUUUCCAUGAAUGACAACCAGCUUGGAUUUCACCAACGGCGGCGGCAUUUGAGGACCUCUAUACCUUGCCAGUGCCUGGUUCGGCCUGUCGUGAAUGAAAACCAGUUUGAAUGAACUGACCGAGGGGUUUUAAUAGAUAACUUGUCCUGUCUAUUGUGACUGCAAACAUUUCGCUGGCAGUUGACGCCAACUGCCAAAUUCCGCAUUAAUUAGCUCCGGUAAUAAACCAUUAUCAACAAUCAAA